rnacentral:rRNA from 1 species
UACGGAGGAUGCGAGCGUUAUCCGGAUUUAUUGGGUUUAAAGGGUGCGUAGGCGGGAUGCCAAGUCAGCGGUAAAAAUGCGGUGCUCAACGCCGUCGAGCCGUUGAAACUGGCGUUCUUGAGUGGGCGAGAAGUAUGCGGAAUGCGUGGUGUAGCGGUGAAAUGCAUAGAUAUCACGCAGAACUCCGAUUGCGAAGGCAGCAUACCGGCGCCCUUCUGACGCUGAGGCACGAAAGCGUGGGUAUCGAACAGG